CAUGGACACACCAGUUAGUCCUCUCACUGAAACCCACAGUUUGGAGAGGUGUGGGGCCACUUGGAGACACCAGUUAAUCCUCUCACUGAAACCCACAGUUUGGAGAGGUGUGGGGCCACGUAGGAGACACCAGUUAGUCCUCUCACUGAAACCCACAGUCUGGAGAGGUGUGGGGCCACAUAGGAGACACCAGAUAGUCCUCUCACUGAAACCCCGUUUGGAGAGGUGUGGGGCCACUUGGAGACACCAGUUAGUCCUCUCACUGAAACCCACAGUUUGGAGAGGUGUGGGGCCACUUGGAGACACCAGUUAAUACUCUCACUCAAACCCACAGUUUGGAGAGGUGUGGGGCCACUUGGAGACACCAGUUAGUCCUCUCACUGAAACCCACAGUUUGGAGAGGUGUGGGGCCACUUGGAGACACCAGUUAGUCCUCUCACUGAAACCAACAGUCUGGAGAGGUGUGGGGCCACUUGGAGACACCAGUUAGUCCUCUCACUGAAACCCACAGUUUGGAGAGGUGUGGGGCCACAUGGACACACCAGUUAGUCCUCUCACUGAAACCCACAGUUUGGAGAGGUGUGGGGCCACUUGGAGACACCAGAUAGUCCUCUCACUGAAACCCACAGUCUGGAGAGGUGUGGGGCCACUUGGAGACACCAGUUAGUCCUCUCACUGAAACCAACAGUCUGGAGAGGUGUGGGGCCACUUGGAGACACCAGAUAGUCCUCUCACUGAAACCCACAGUCUGGAGAGGUUUGGGGCCACUUGGAGACACCAGUUAAUCCCCUCACUCAAACCCACAGUUUGGAGAGGUGUGGGGCCACUUGGAGACACCAGUUAAUCCCCUCACUCAAACCCACAGUUUGGAGAGGUGUGGGGCCACUUGGAGACACCAGUUAGUCCUCUCACUGAAACCCAGUUUGGAGAGGUGUGGGGCCACUUGGAGACACCAGAUAGUCCUCUCACUGAAACCCAGUUUGGAGAGGUGUGGGGCCACUUGGAGACACCAGUUAGUCCUCUCACUGAAACCCACAGUUUGGAGAGGUGUGGGGCCACUUGGAGACACCAGUUAGUCCUCUCACUGAAACCCAGUUUGGAGAGGUGUGGGGCCACUUGGAGACACCAGUUAGUCCUCUCACUGAAACCCAGUUUGGAGAGGUGUGGGGCCACUUGGAGACACCAGAUAGUCCUCUCACUGAAACCCAGUUUGGAGAGGUGUGGGGCCACUUGGAGACACCAGUUAGUCCUCUCACUGAAACCCAGUUUGGAGAGGUGUGGGGCCACUUGGAGACACCAGAUAGUCCUCUCACUGAAACCCAGUUUGGAGAGGUGUGGGGCCACUUGGAGACACCAGUUAGUCCUCUCACUGAAACCCACAGUCUGGAGAGGUGUGGGGCCACUUGGAGACACCAGUUAGUCCUCUCACUGAAACCCACAGUUUGGAGAGGUGUGGGGCCACUUGGAGACACCAGUUAGUCCUCUCACUGAAACCAACAGUCUCGAGAGGUGUGGGGCCACUUAGAGACACCAGUUAAUCCUCUCACUCAAACCCACAGUUUGGAGAGGUGUGGGGUCACUUAGAGACACCAGUUAAUCCUCUCACUGAAACCCAGUUGUUUGGAGAGGUGAUGUAAUAGUAUGUUCUUAU